rnacentral:rRNA from 1 species
CAUAAUAACUUCACGAAUCGCAUGGCCUUGCGCCGGCGAUGGUUCAUUCAAAUUUCUGCCCUAUCAACUUUCGAUGGUAGGAUAGUGGCCUACCAUGGUGGCAACGGGUAACGGGGAAUUAGGGUUCGAUUCCGGAGAGGGAGCCUGAGAAACGGCUACCACAUCCAAGGAAGGCAGCAGGCGCGCAAAUUACCCAAUCCCGAUACGGGGAGGUAGUGACAAUAAAUACUGAUACAGGGGCUCUUUUGGGUCUUGUAAUUGGAAUGAGAACAAUCUAAAUCCCUUAACGAGGAACAAUUGGAGGGCAAGUCUGGUGCCAGCAGCCGCGGUAAUUCCAGCUCCAAUAGCGUAUAUUAAAGUUGUUGCAGUUAAAAAGCUCGUAGUUGAACCUUGGGCCCGUCCUGCCGGUCCGCCUCACCGCGAGUACUGGUCCGGAUGGGCCUUUCUUUCUGGGGAAUCCCAUGGCCUUCACUGGCUGUGGCGGGGAACCACGAUU